rnacentral:misc_RNA from 1 species
GAUGAAGAACGUAGCGAAAUGCGAUAAGUAAUGUGAAUUGCAGAAUUCAGUGAAUCAUCGAAUCUUUGAACGCACAUUGCGCCCGCCAGUAUUCUGGCGGGCAUGCCUGUUCGAGCGUCAUUUCAACCAUCAAGCCCCAGGCUUGUGUUGGGGACCUGCGGCUGCCGCAGGCCCUGAAAACCAGUGGCGGGCUCGCUGUCACACCGGGCGUAGUAGAUUUUAUCUCGCUCAGGGCGUGCUGCGGGUUCCGGCCGUUAAAAAGCCUUUUUUACCCCAGGUUGACCUCGGAUCAGGUAGGAAGACCCGCUGAACUUAAGCAUAUCAAUAAGCGGAGGA